rnacentral:lncRNA from 1 species
UCUUACGUUAAUGCGAAGGUUAAUAAGAGAGUGCAGACUGUAGAGAGGAUACUAACAACUGAACUUUAUGAGGAUUUUAGCUGCUGAAGUGUCGGAAAAGGAGGAGGAUACAUGUCUUAUGAACUUUUCUACAAAACCUCAGACGCAGUUUUGUAAAACCCAAGAAUGAAAAAAAAAGGUAUUAUUUGCUCAGCAUUGGUAGAAAAGACUAGUGAUGCUCCUCUCUGAAGUUGCUGUAAUGGAUAAGUAUUUCAUAAGAUUUAUUUAUACUUGAAUAUUUCGAGUUUUGGUUCUGUUUUUAGAUACUACGCUAAAAAAUGGUCAACUUUAGUAUAGUCGAGUUUUUCCGCGUUCGAAUAAUACUCGAAUCCAACACUAAUUAUUUAUAAAAUUUCACAAGGAAGUAUUUAAUGGUUCAUAACGAACUGAUAAUAAAUAUACACUAAUUUCAAAUGUGUCAACAAAAUCUCAGAGGGGGAGUUACAAAAAUGAUAUAUUUCAAGGAGGAAAUUUUUUUGUAGAUAAAAGUACUCCCAUAGCAAGCUAAGGAGUACUCCUAAUGUAGGGUUAAAUUUCCAUAUUGUAAACUGUAAUAUUAUAAUUAUUAUGAAACGAUUAUAUUGGUCUCGACUGAUACAUCAACUACAUAGACGAUUGAUUAUAAGCAGUUUGAGAAUAAUCGAUAAUUAUGAUGGGCCACAAUUAGGAGAUUAUUACUAGUGAUGUGCCGUAAGCUGAAUUUUGCUGUUCAAGUAUUUUCGAAUUUAUAAUAAAACACUCGAAGAAUUACGAGCUAUACUCAUUA